rnacentral:rRNA from 1 species
AGUGAACGCUGGCGGUAGGCCUAACACAUGCAAGUCGAACGGCAGCACAGUAAGAGCUUGCUCUUACGGGUGGCGAGUGGCGGACGGGUGAGGAAUACAUCGGAAUCUACUUUUUCGUGGGGGAUAACGUAGGGAAACUUACGCUAAUACCGCAUACGACCUACGGGUGAAAGCAGGGGAUCUUCGGACCUUGCGCGAUUGAAUGAGCCGAUGUCGGAUUAGCUAGUUGGCGGGGUAAAGGCCCACCAAGGCGACGAUCCGUAGCUGGUCUGAGAGGAUGAUCAGCCACACUGGAACUGAGACAAGGUCCAGACUCCUACGGGAGGCAGCAGUGGGGAAUAUUGGACAAUGGGCGCAAGCCUGAUCCAGCCAUACCGCGUGGGUGAAGAAGGCCUUCGGGUUGUAAAGCCCUUUUGGUGGGAAAGAAAAGCAGCAGGUUAAUACCCCGCUGUUCUGACGGUACCCAAAGAAUAAGCACCGGCUAACUCCGUG